rnacentral:rRNA from 1 species
UGGGGAAUAUUGGACAAUGGGCGGAAGCCUGAUCCAGCAACGCCGCGUGAGGGAUGACGGCCUUCGGGUUGUAAACCUCUUUCAUCACCGACGAAGCCGUAAGGUGACGGUAGGUGGAGAAGAAGCACCGGCCAACUACGUGCCAGCAGCCGCGGUAAUACGUAGGGUGCGAGCGUUGUCCGGAAUUAUUGGGCGUAAAGGGCUCGUAGGCGGUUUGUCGCGUCGGGAGUGAAAACACCGGGCUUAACUCGGUGCUGGCUUUCGAUACGGGCAGACUAGAGGUAUUCAGGGGAGAACGGAAUUCCUGGUGUAGCGGUGAAAUGCGCAGAUAUCAGGAGGAACACCGGUGGCGAAGGCGGUUCUCUGGGAAUGUCCUGACGCUGAGGAGCGAAAGUGUGGGGAGCGAACAGG